rnacentral:rRNA from 1 species
AUACGGAGGGUGCAAGCGUUGUUCGGAAUCACUGGGCGUAAAGGGCGCGCAGGCGGUUUGGUAAGUCAGAUGUGAAAGCCCACGGCUCAACCGUGGAAGUGCAUUUGAAACUGUCAGACUUGAGUACUAGAGGGGAAAGUGGAAUUCCCGGUGUAGAGGUGAAAUUCGUAGAUAUCGGGAGGAAUACCGGUGGCGAAGGCGACUUUCUGGCUAGAUACUGACGCUGAGGCGCGAAAGCGUGCGGAGCAAACAGGAUUAGAAACCCCAGUAGUCC